rnacentral:sRNA from 1 species
AAAACUGCAUCUUUCAAACUGGAAGAUAAAGAAACUUCCACAUUUUAGUUAGAUUGAGAGCACACAGUUAAUUGGUUAAAAGGUGGCUUUUAAGAUCUGUGAAUUAUUCCAUGCAUCCGUGUUUGUUUUAAGAGUUAAGCCGUUAGAGGAGAUUAAUUAUUACGGAUUUAUAAUGAAAAAUUUUAUCAGCAAAUGCUUUUAUUAGAUUUCUUUUAAUAUUCUCAGCCAGGACAUGAGCUCCAAGCAAGGAAUUACCUCACUAUAUGGGAGCAGAUUGACAUUUACAGGCACAGAAAGUUGGGCAUAUACGGGACCAUCUUCAAUUUCUGCAAAUAAUUAGUAACAUCAUUUUGUCCAUAUAUAUUGAAGUGAUAAGUUUAAAAUAUACUUCGCAUAAAACCCUCAAAAUCAAAAGGAUGAAAAUAUAAAAGAAAGAACUUAUAUAUCAAAGGGUAAUAUGACAUUUCAAGAAAAAAUAAAUUAGUUGUAUGGUAAAAAUGGUAAGGGAGUUCAUAGUUUUGAAGAUUGUAACUUUAUCCCUUGUGAGUUUUUAAGUCCUAAGAAAGUUAGUGUAUCCAUUAGCUUUAGAUCGGGAAAAGUUUAUCACCCCUGCUAGCCCUUUUCGACUUUCACCUUAAUUAUAAUCGAUCAAAUUCAAGAGUUUAUAAUGGUAAAAUUAGAAAGCUAAAAUUAAUAUGCCAUUUCAAAUCACUCAAGUCUAUUAUACCCCAUAACACAGGCACCCUUGUGCAAGCAAAGGCUCUUAGGCCUAAACAUGAAUUGAAACUUAAAAUCCAGGGCAGAUAGAGCUAAAAAUCCCUAAAAAGUUGCAAAAUAUGUCAUUAGAGACUGAUAUCUGAUAUCCCCAACUUAACCCCUGUUAGUAUGAUUUGCUAUGUACAAAAUAAUCACCUAAAGCAAAAACCAUACUUUUACCUCCCCGUGUACUCCUACAUUCUCAAUCACAAAUCACUUACUACCAAAACGUUCAAAAAAUGAAGCAUCACAACUUUCCCCACCAGGUAAUUUAAGACUCUGCGCUUAUCAUAUUCUAUCCUCUUCAGUCUCAUACCAGACCAAAGAACUGCAGCAUGUUUUCUUCUCCUCCCCAAACAUUCAUCCAACAAAAUUUAUCCUAAAUAAGACAAAGCUAAAAACAAAAGAAAACAAUAGACCAUAUUGACGCUACCCUUUCGAAGCAAAUUGUUAUAACAAAGUUUUAAACUGUGGUUGUCGCUGUAUCUUUGAUAUUCCAAGAAAAUAUGAUCAAACAAAGUCAAUGCUGCCGUAGUUUUGCUUGCUUUGUCGUGUCAGAAAAACUGCAGAAACCUUGACAAACUCACAGUCCUAACUGUGUUUUGAAAACCUUAGACUGUUGCGAAAUGGCAGCACCAACAUCAGAGGAGACUGAAACUCUCCUGACAGGACGAGUAGACUUCUUCACAUAAGAUGAAUUCCACUCGCCACCAUCUUGAGCAUAGUAAUCCAUUGGAUAAUCUCCACCAAAAUCUUCCCCUCCCUUUGCAUCCCCCUCACAGCAAGCACCACUCCUCUUACAACAACCCACACCAUCUUCACGAACUUCAUUCUUCUCCCACCACCCAGGUAUCACUCCCAGAGCAACCUCUGCCUCAAACGAAGUAAGCACCGGUUUCACAAACGCCUCACCCCAGUCAAUGGACAACCUCGGACACGCAAUCUGAAUCCAGGCGUCCACAGAAUCCUCAAACAGAGCAACCCUCCCAGGACUUAACUCCGACAUCAAAACCACAGUGUAAUCCAACCCUCUCUCCUUCAUCUUCUUCUCCAACCUCUCCAAAAUCCUCGGAUUCCCUUGUCUCCCAAGAGUCCCCAAAACCACACCCCAACUCCGAGCCUCCCUCGCUUUCAAAAUCGCAUUUUUCCUCGACCGCUUCAUACCCACGUGAUCGUAUUCCUCCAGAAACAACAUCCCCAUGUAAGGGUCAUACCUGAAUGCCCUAAUCCCCGGAUUUGCAAUCAUGAACGCCUCCAAAUGAAACCUUCCAUCCGCCACAAACACCAAAACGCUUUCACCAACGCCACAACCAAGCGAAUUCGCCGAGACCCUGGGCGCCGUGCAACCCAGAACCUCACCCGCGGAAAGCGGCUUCGACUGAGGAACCAAAACCCUAAACCCUAACUCCUCCAAUUGGGGCUUCGCAGCGCGAAUCGCUGAGGCGAAUUGAAUUGUCCCAGCGACAACGAGUGUUUGGGGACGGGAUUCAAGGUUCAACCUGACGGUGUCGACGAAGUGGGGGACGUCGAUUUUGAUGUCGACGAAAACGUAGAGGCAGGGGAUCGUAGUGGCGUCGAUGGGGACGAGGCAGCUGUGUCCGUAGUGGAUGAGGAGGUCGGCACCGAGGGCGGCGGCGGAGAAGUCGUCGACGCAGCAGGCGCCGUAGGUUACGUCGCCGAGGAUGUAGCAAUGGGUGACGGCGGCAAAGGUGGUGAAGAUGUCAGAGAGGGAAAGAGAGUACAUAAGGAGGCCCUCGGGAAACUGGAGGGCGACGCGCUUGGCGCCCGUGGAGAGCACGCGCCAAACGGACUUGUGAAUCUCGAAGUUGUAGUUGGAGGGGAGGACGGAGAUGGCGGCGUUGAGAAGCGGGUCGUUGAGGAUUGAAUCUGGAAUUUGAUUUUUCACGAAACGCUUUGGCUUUGGCUUUGGGUUUGCAGCAUUGUUGGGUUGGAGAGGAGAUGAAGAAUGGGGAAGAAGGAGCAUCUCUGUUCCUGCUUUGCUUUGCUCUGACUCCAUUGCCAUCCUUUCUCUCUCUGCUAAACGCCUUCUUCUUUUGUUCUACUUUCUUUCCUCUCACACCAAAUCUUUUUAAAUAUGCAAUUAUUCUAUUCUUCACUCAUGGAUCAAAUUUAAU